GGUCAACCUGCCUUCAUGAAGGUUUCUAUGACUACAGUGAUUCACUCCAAUUUCUCCUCAUUCACUAUGACUUCAAAAUUGCUCUUCGUUGUCCUCCUAAGUUCAAUUUUAUCGUCAGAUCCUAUGUCCUGAUGUUUAGCUUGGAGAAGUUGUUGACUCUUUUGAUGACCACGUGAGAAGCUCUGUGUGUGAGACGCACACUGGUUUUUUCCCCAGAGUUCCCACACCUGGAACGGAAGCACUGCUCUACAGAUGAUGACUGAAGCAAGAAUGAUUAAGCACUGGGAAGGAAAUUCUCAAGAGGGAAGACCAGCGGAAGGCCCUUCCCUGUCUUAUUCAGUGAGGACUGAUAGUCAAGCAAUCACUGCUGGCUUUGGAGAGAACACCGUGGUGGCUGGAGGACUCUGACAAGGAGAACAGGGAACACCGUGUUCUGCACUGGGAGACAGCAGGAAAGGGAGAUCUCUACGAAUCUUUUCAGGGUCAAGCUACCUUUUUGGACUCUAUCCAUCUGCCUGCAACCUGCCUGUGACAGCUAAUCACAUUCAGCUGAAGAGAAAUAAAGGAUUCUCUUAUCAAAAAGUGCAAAGUAGUCCCUGAAUAAUGACUGCAUCACCCAAUCUCCCUAGAUGGGCACAGGGACAGUCUGACUAAUGGAAUAUAAUUUGAAAUGGCAUGUGCCAUUUUUGGAAAAGAUCUGUACUCCCUCCCUGGAUGGGAUGCAGAUUUGAGGGCUGGGUGAGCAGUGAUCUAAUAUCAUGAGGUAGAAGUUACAUCUGAAGAGGAGAGAAGUGCAAGAUAAAGCUACUGGCCACUGUGGCAUGCCAUAGCAGCCCCACAUAGGUAUUUCUGCAUUUCAUAUAUGUGGCAGGAAACAGAUUUCAAUUUUGUUUACACCACUGUGAUUUUGCAUUCUGCCAUUUUCUUUCCUGUCACUUGCAUUGAAUCUACUCCGUAGAGAGAUAGGGGGCCAGGGUCAAUCACGGAGACUCGAGGUAAGCUAUGCUGGAUACAGAGCUGUAGCUUGCAGGCUGCUGUACUCCAUUAGAGGGAUUUAAACAAGAUGGAAGCAUGGUCAUGAGUGUACUAAAGGGUUCUGUGUUUGUCCUUCAAGAAUAGGUUUAGGGUUGUGGGGGAGCAAGAAAUUCUAAAUGAAACAACUACUUCUAGCAGGGAAGUUCAAAAGACAGGAGUCAGUGUAAACAGGGAACUCAACAGAGGUGACAGUGUGAGUUAACAUUGCCCGAAGACUUCUUUUCAUGUAUUUCCUGGCCUUCUAGUUUAUAGCUAUAAAAGACAACUGAAAGCCAUUCUCUUCCACUUUUGCAAGGUUCCCUGCUUAAAGAUUUCCAGGUGUUUUUGCUAUGAUUUGAGUGUGUCCCCUGAAGGUUCAUCUGUUGGGAGAUUGGUCUCCAGUGUGGUGGUGUUGAGAGAUGGUGGGAUCUUUUAGAGGUGAAACCCAGUAAGACUGGGUCCUUCCCCUCUAUUGGCCUUCUAUGUGAUAUCUCCAUAUCACAUGUGCUCCUGUCAUCAUGGUGUCAUCAGCCACAGGUGAUGCAGCCAGAGGAACCCUCACCAGAGCCAGAACUAUGCCACUGGACGUUCAGGCUCCAAAACUGUGAGCGAAAUGAAACUUUCUCUUUGCAAGUACACAGCCUCAGGUAUUGCAUUAUAGUAACAAAAAAUGGACGAACGUGGUUGUUUGCUUAGAGCACCUUUGAAUAAGCACAGUCUGAAACACCAAUUAUAUUACUCAAAGCACAAUAGUAAGCCAUUUUAUAGAUGCAGAAUGUAUUUUGGCUUUUCAUUAACAUUAAUUGGUAUCCUAAUCAUCUGCAGUUGGAUUCUGUUUGUGAAUACCUCCUUCAAUCAGCCUGUUCCUACAAAUAAAUGCUUUUGAAGGCA